rnacentral:rRNA from 1 species
GACGAACGCUGGCGGCGUGCCUAACACAUGCAAGUCGAACGCUCUCUCCGCGAGGGGAGGGAGUGGCGGACGGGUGAGGAACACGUGGGUCACCUGCCCUGCAGUGGGGGAUACCGGUGCGAAAGCGCCGACAAUCCCGCAUGAGGUGGGGUCUCGGAAGGGGACUCCAGGAAAGCUCGAGGCUGGAGGGCCUGGGGCGCUGCAGGAGGGGCCUGCGCCCGAUUAGCUAGUUGGUAGGGUAAAGGCCUACCAAGGCGACGAUCGGUAGCUGGUCUGA